AACCUUGCGCAGUGGCAAUAUCUUAAUGAAGUUCUACUGAGAUGCGAUUAUUGCUAGUUGAAAACUAUAACCAAUACUCCGCCAAUCUGCUGUGAAACUAUAUACAGGGUGUCACGGGAACAGACGUCAAUACUCCAGUA